rnacentral:tRNA from 1 species
UGCAGCGUAGCUUAAUCGUAAAGCGCCAAGUUCAUACCUCGGUCAAUGCGGGUACCGCUUCGCGGAAGCAAGCUACAAAUCCCGCCACUGCAACCA